CGAAUAUUUUCCACUUUCCAGAAAUGCCCUCUCGUUCGUUCACCUUACCAACUCGAGCUCUCUCUCUGGUUCCCCUCUCACCUACCCCCUUCUCGCUCCCCUCCAGAUCCCCGUCGUCGCCGGCUUCUCCUCGUCGUCGUUCGCCGGCCUCUCCUCGCCACCACCACGCACUCUGUUUCCUCCGGCCGCGCACACCGCACCGUAGGUCAAAAGCUUGCUUUUUUAGGCGCCGUCGACCAACUUAUGGGCGGCGGAGGAUGGAUCCGCGUGCACCAAAGCUGGAUCCGCGCGUGUCGACGCCGUAGCAGCGGAGCAGGGCCAUAGCAGCGCCGUCCUCCUCCACGACCACACAGCCGCGUCGGCGAAGGACUCGAAUCCCUAGCCAGCGAGCUCAGGCAGCCAUGGAUCCAUGGUCGAUGCCAUGGAAGAGCCACCAACAGCAACAGCUAAGAUAUGGACAUGCAGGCCGCUGCCCUCCCUGAUGCAUCAUGCGUGCUGCCCUCCCUAACCACCGCUUCUCGGACUCUACUUCUUCCUUGGUCACCAUGGAAGGAGAGCACCAACAGCAGAAUUAUGCAGAGCCUUGUCAAAUGUUGUUGCACUGAACAGAGGCAUGGGUAAAGCUCUCAAUUUUAGUAUGCAAAUGUAUGCAGUAGUCAAUUUAAUUAAAAUGUGUUUAUGUAGGCAUAUGUAUGGAGUACUAGUCCAUUUAAGUGUAGCAGUAGUGCUUGCUUGAUUGCUUGCAAUAGUUUAGUUGCUCUUUUAGUUGCUCAUAAUUAAGUGCAGGAGUAUCUUCUUCUCUGUUCUUGCUGUCAUCUUCUCUUAGCUGCUCAUAAUUAAGUGUAGGGUUUUCUCUUUUCUUUUCUCUUCUCUUCUCUUGCAAAUACUCCUCUUGUGCCCUCAAUGAUUUAAUUUUCUUUAAUUAAAAUUAAACUGAGUAGCAGUAGCAUUUUGCUUGCCGGAGUAGAGUAUUGCAAUGCAUGCAUUUGAUUCAGUUUCUUCUCUUUUGAGCAUGUUUGCUUGUAGUGCUUACAAUUAAACCUUUUCAAUUAAUUUUCUUGGAUUAAACCUUUUCAAUUAAUUUUCUUGGAUUACUUGGAGUACUGAUGGUGAUUGCUGCUGUUAAGUUAGGACUUGCAAGCAGUAGUUUAGUGUAGGACUUGCAAGAAGAGGAUUGCAAGCUACUGUAGUGUACUCCUCUUGCAAGUAAUUUAACUAAAAAAAUUAGUUGACUGAAAAUAUUCGGUUAAAGUUAACUGAAAACGUUCCAUGUCAAAUUGUGUACUCCCAUUGCUUUAUUUGAUCAUUUGAGUUAACAGAGUAUUUAACUUUAACUGAUCAUUGUUUUAUUUGAUCCUCAUUGUGUACUUCCAUUGUUCUACUCCUGCAUUUAGUACUAUAUCUGCAUUGUUCUACUCCCAUUCAGUUAACAGAGUAGUUCAUGUCAAACAAAUUCUGAAAUAUACCUGCAUUUAGUAUAUCUCCAUCUCCUGCAUCUUCAUCUCCUGCAUCUUCAAUCAUCUCAUCUUCUACAGGUGGAGUGUUGUUGAGGUCCAGGAGAACCAUCUUCUACAGGCGAGACGACAAGGCCGUUGUCAGUGGUGAGCUGGUACUACAGGAGAAGGAACAUGGCCAGGAGAAGAAGGAGCACGCCCAGGAGAACAAGAAGGAGCAGGAUUAAGGCCCUAAGGACCUGGCAUCGCUGCUGCUGGACCUGGGACCUAGGAUUGCUGCUGCUGGACUUGGGAACUGGGAUUGCUGCUGCUCUGUGCCUCCUUGGCACCCCUGGAUCUGGGAUCGCUGCUGGAAACAAGGACCAGGGAUCGCUGCUGGAGGCGAGGACCUGGGAGCGCCUGGGACCUGGGCGCAUGGAGGAGAAGCAGGGGCAGGCGGAGGAGAAGCAGGGGCGGGCGAGCGGACGAUGGCCUGGUGAACGGGCGGGCUAUGGCCUCGCGGAUGGAGGAAGACGAUGGGGAUACCGAUUCAAACUAGGGGCAACGAUGUAAAUUCCACCGUUUUCACCUGGUCGGAACUAAUCCUCCAGCGACUUACAUUUCGGAACGGAGGGAGUAUAAAUAAGGCAAGAAUCCUCACAGUA